GACGAACGCUGGCGGCGUGCUUAACACAUGCAAGUCGAACGGAAAGGCCCUGCUUUUGUGGGGUGCUCGAGUGGCGAACGGGUGAGUAACACGUGAGUAACCUGCCCUUGACUUUGGGAUAACUUCAGGAAACUGGGGCUAAUACCGGAUAGGAGCUCCUGCUGCAUGGUGGGGGUUGGAAAGUUUCGGCGGUUGGGGAUGGACUCGCGGCUUAUCAGCUUGUUGGUGGGGUAGUGGCUUACCAAGGCUUUGACGGGUAGCCGGCCUGAGAGGGUGACCGGCCAAAUGGGGACUGAGAUACGGCCCAGAAUCCAACGGGAGGCAGCAGUGGGGAAUAUUGCACAAUGGGCGGAAGCCUGAUGCAGCAACGCCGCGUGCGGGAUGACGGCCUUCGGGUUGUAAACAGAUUUCGCCUGUGACGAAGCGUGAGUGACGGUAAUGGGUAAAGAAGCACCGGCUAACUACGUG
rnacentral:rRNA from 1 species